CAAGUACUCCCUCCGUUCGGAAUUACUUGUCAUCAAAAUGGAUGUGUCUAGAACUAAAAUACAUCUAGAUACAUCCAUUUCAAUGACAAGUAUUUUCGGACGGAGGGAGUACAAG
rfam:Triticum aestivum genome assembly, contig: Triticum_aestivum_CS42_TGACv1_scaffold_234611_3B